GACGAACGCUGGCGGCGUGCUUAACACAUGCAAGUCGAGCGAUGAAGCACCUUCGGGUGUGAAUUAGCGGCGAACGGGUGAGGAACACGUGAGAAAUCUGCCUUCAACUCUGGGAUAACUCCGUGAAAACGGGGCUAAUACCGGAUAUGAGCCUUGAUCGCAUGAUCGAGGCUGGAAAGUUUUCGGUUGAAGAUGAUCUCGCGGCCUAUCAGCUUGUUGGUGAGGUAAUGGCUCACCAAGGCGACGACGGGUAGCCGGCCUGAGAGGGCGACCGGCCACACUGGGACUGAGACACGGCCCAGACUCCUACGGGAGGCAGCAGUGGGGAAUAUUGGGCAAUGGAGGAAACUCUGACCCAGCGACGCCGCGUGAGGGAUGAAGGCCUCGGUGUAAGCUCUUCAGUGGGGAAGAGUAAUGACUGUACCGACCAGAAGAAGACCCCGGC
rnacentral:rRNA from 1 species